rnacentral:rRNA from 1 species
UACGAAGGGUGCAAGCGUUAAUCGGAAUUACUGGGCGUAAAGCGCGCGUAGGUGGUUCAGUAAGUUGGAAGUGAAAUCCCCGGGCUCAACCUGGGAACUGCUUUCAAAACUGCUGAGCUAGAGUAUGGAAGAGGGUGGUGGAAUUUCCUGUGUAGCGGUGAAAUGCGUAGAUAUAGGAAGGAACACCAGUGGCGAAGGCGACCACCUGGACUGAUACUGACACUGAGGUGCGAAAGCGUGGGGAGCAAACAGG